rnacentral:rRNA from 1 species
UACGAAGGGGGCUAGCGUUGCUCGGAAUCACUGGGCGUAAAGCGCACGUAGGCGGCUCUCUAAGUCGGGGGUGAAAUCCUGGAGCUCAACUCCAGAACUGCCUUCGAUACUGGAAAGCUCGAGUCCGGGAGAGGUGAGUGGAACUGCGAGUGUAGAGGUGAAAUUCGUAGAUAUUCGCAAGAACACCAGUGGCGAAGGCGGCUCACUGGCCCGAUACUGACGCUGAGGCACGAAAGCGUGGGGAGCAAACAGG